rnacentral:rRNA from 1 species
GCAAGUCGAGCGCACCUUCGGGUGAGCGGCGGACGGGUUAGUAACGCGUGGGAACGUGCCCUUCUCUACGGAAUAGCCAUUGGAAACGAUGAGUAAUACCGUAUACGCCCUUCGGGGGAAAGAUUUAUCGGAGAAGGAUCGGCCCGCGUCUGAUUAGAUAGUUGGUGGGGUAACGGCCUACCAAGUCUACGAUCAGUAGCUGGUUUGAGAGGAUGAUCAGCAACACUGGGACUGAGACACGGCCCAGACUCCUACGGGAGGCAGCAGUGGGGAAUCUUAGACAAUGGGCGAAAGCCUGAUCUAGCCAUGCCGCGUGAGUGACGAAGGCCUUAGGGUCGUAAAGCUCUUUCGCCAGGGAUGAUAAUGACAGUACCUGGUAAAGAAACCCCGGCUAACUCCGUGCCAGCAGCCGCGGUAAUACGGAGGGGGUUAGCGUUGUUCGGAAUUACUGGGCGUAAAGCGCACGUAGGCGGACCAGAAAGUUGGGGGUGAAAUCCCGGGGCUCAACCCCGGAACUGCCUCCAAAACUCCUGGUCUAGAGUUCGAGAGAGGUGAGUGGAAUUCCGAGUGUAGAGGUGAAAUUCGUAGAUAUUCGGAGGAACACCAGUGGCGAAGGCGGCUCACUGGCUCGAUACUGACGCUGAGGUGCGAAAGUGUGGGGAGCAAACAGGAUUAUAUACCCUGGUAGUCCACACCGUAAACGAUGAAUGCCAGACGUCAGGGGGCUUGCCCUUUGGUGUCACACCUAACGGAUUAAGCAUUCCGCCUGGGGAGUACGGUCGCAAG